UUGAAGUUACCUGGGAUCUGAGGUGCUGCUUUCUCUAUUAACAGGUUUUCCUCAUUCCUUUUUUCAUCCCAGGUUGGUACCUCUGAUUCUUAUUUUUGCCUGCACUCAAGUUCAGUAGACUCAGUGAUGGAAAGGAGAAUUAUGGUAAUAGGACAGGGACAUGAGGAAGCAAGCUGGAGGAAGGACUGGAUCUUGUCCUCCUCCCCCCACACAACUUCCUGUUCUCUUCUCAACUGAUUUGAAUGCUCUUCUCAGAAUGAGAACAUGGCACAGUUUCUCCAGUCAGUGCUAAUGAUGAGUAGAACGACAUAAUGGAGAGCAUGCUGCGUACA
rnacentral:lncRNA from 1 species